rnacentral:lncRNA from 1 species
UGUUGAGUGCUUGUUUACUUUAGUAGAGCAGGCUGUAAGCUAUGGUUCCUCUAGGGCUGUUUUACACAAAGUUCAGCUUUCCCAGCCAUAGAAACAACUACUAGGACAGGACAAAGAGCAGAAUUAAGUUAUUGCCCAUUUUAGUUCCACCCAAAUUCUUGAGAGGGAUCAGACAAUAAGGCAGCAAAGUUCAAGACAAAUCCUUUAGCAACAGUAGAAGUCCUGCUAAGGAUAUCCUGUGUUUGAAAGAUAAUUCCAGUUAAAAUGUUUCAAACCAUUCAUAUAUUUAUAAAUUAAUGCUAUAAUAAUGAAAAUAGUUACUCUUUUUUUUUUUUUCCCCACUUACCAUAUGUUUUACAGACAUAACUUUAUAUUAGUCAUUUAGUAUAGAGGCAUCUAAACAGUAAGUGAAACAGCUACCUUAUUUUACAGAUUUCUUUGUUUUCUAAGUGGCAUUAUGAAAUUAAAAAAAAAAUAAGUAAGAAAGAAAGAAAGAAAAAAGCAACACCCAACAACGCACCUUUAAUAGAUAGCUUAUUAGCUUCAUCUGCUUGAUAAGACGAAAAAGGACAGGUGAGAGAAAUGAGUUCAGCUGUGCCUUGUUUGGAAAAGAAGGGAUUGGAUGUUGCAGCCUUCAUUGAGAAGAGGUGGCUUCUUAAGACAAAUGUUUGGUUAUUAUAAAAAGGUAGUGUUGCUUACUGAAGGAAGGUUGGAGAUUUUGUUGGGUUUUAAUUGCAUCAUUUUUUUAUUUUUUUUCUUUGUAUGGGUGCUAAAGAGCUCCCCAGGGAAGCAGAUUCCCCGAGUCCCUAUUCAGAGAAGAAAGCACAGCGAUUACUUACGGACUUCAUUUGUAUAUGUAAAGAUGGCUCAUCUCGCUAAGAAUCACUGUGAUCAAGCCAUCUCUGCUGGGACUUCUUACACUGUGAUAAACAACAGGCAUCACUCCUUACUGUUUAUAAGUGCAGUCCUUAUUCCCAUGUGCAAAAAUGGUGCUAUGGAAGAAGUGCAUCUUAGUCUUAUUUACUGGUGA